GGUGUUUGUGUACGCAGAUGUAGCAACAAACUAUCGUCGCAAGGACCACCGCGACAAUGGCACCACUAGCUAUACUUGCAGUUUCCAGCAUCACUCGAGGCCGAGUUGCUGUAAGAGGAAAGAAAUGUGUCGGCUAGACUGACAAACGCGCCGCUUAUCCACCACGAUACGCGAAAGUCCUAGCAGGCUGCAAUAAAUAUAACACGUGGUUGCCACGCGCGCCUUGCCCCAGUGUGGCGCGGCUUGCUUCGUGUCCAUGUCGAAAAAGCUGUCGAACUCUCUCGGCUAGUGACCGCCCGCGAUAAUGGUGAUGUUGAUCGGCGGGUCGAGGACGGAUUGAAGUGCCCCAUGAACCUCUCCUUCAGGUGGAUUUUGGAUCGGAAAGUGGCACUACGAACUGUGUUACAUAACCCGGCCAAACUAAUGCGUUACCAUUAUUCUAAAGUCAGCCGCGUGCCAUGCGCUCGUUACUGAGGGGGAGAACGCCACCCCCAAACGGCAACUGCUACUAAAUUUAGUGGCUGUUAACCUUCUACCGAAUUGAAUUUGUGGUAAAACUUAAGAAUUGUUAGCUGUAGUUGCAGAAGAUCCAUCGAAAAACAAAUUUCAACAUUACAGAAUAAAUGUUACAAAAAAGAAAUUAUUGAAAUCAUGAUCAAAUUCCAUAAACUAGCAAAAAAAAAAGUAAAGAAAACAAAAGAAGUCACGACUUCUAGUUGAGGGUUAACAGCUACCUGCCAGAAGUCCAGAAGUCAGUCAGCGCAGUCGUCAUCGGAACCAGGACUGGCUGAUUGCGGGGUAAAAUGGUACACUUGAAUGGGUUCAGUCGCGAGAUGGCUAUCGCGUGGCACCACGAGAAGAUGGAGAGCUGAGUGAUUGCGAAGAGUGCAGUGUUGAGAACAUGCCACCUCGUUCUAGCGUGGCUUGUAACAAGUGGGUCCAGCCAGAAGUGCAUUAACAUUUUCGAUUUUUUUCUUUCUAUUUUGUGUGGUGUACUAAUGAGACGGCUGGUUAGCAUAAUAGCUAGUCAGGUGAGGUGGGGUGUAAGAAUUGGGCGGGAAAUGGAAAAAUAAAGUUUUACGAACAUGAAAUGGUAAAUGGUGAAGGAGAGGGCAUGCAAUUUCAGGACUUUGCAUGAUACUAGCAAAAAAAAAGUUAUAUUCACUUAAGUGUCUGCAUACUGAAGUAAGGUAAAAUUGAUUAUAGCUGCUUCAGAGUAACUCACUUUGUCAAUUUGGCGCUCUAAUGAUAGGUUAUUUGUGUAUGAAAGCCGGCAAUCGAUGGGAACGAGACAACUGUUGUCAGCCAAUUAAC